rnacentral:rRNA from 1 species
GCAAGUCGAGCGAAGUUUUUAUUAACUUAGCGGCGGACGGGUGAGUAACACGUGGGAACGUGCCCUUUAGUCAGGAAUAACUCAUGGAAACGUGAGCUAAUACCGCAUACACCCUUCAGGGGAAAGAUUUAUCGCUAAAGGAUAGGCCGCGCUGGAUUAGGUAGUUGGUGAGGUAAAAGCUCACCAAGCCAACGAUCCCUAGCUGGUUUGAGAGGAUGAUC